rnacentral:rRNA from 1 species
GAAAACCCACUGAACUGAAGCAUCUCAAUAAGGGGAGGAAAAUAAACUAACUAGGAUACUCUUAGUAAGUGCGACCGAAGAGAGUAAAGCUCAAUAAUCUAAACUUUAAAUUUUUAUAAUUUAAAGGCAUGUGAUUUUCUAAACUCAUUGAAAUUUUUAUAAAUUAUGAUUGAAUUCAUAACUAUAAAGAGUUAUAGUCUCGUUAUUUAAAAUUUCAAGCAUGGGAAUUAGAAUUAAAGAGUCGGGUAGCUUGAGAAUGCUGCCUUAAUAUAGGUGGUACACCCCAUCUAAAGCUAAAUAUUGUAAAGAGACCGAUAGCAUACAAGUAGUGUGAACGAAAGAUGAAAAGAACUCCUAAACGGAGAAUUAAAAGCGCCUGAACUUGUCUAGGUUUUCGCAUUUCUUUAAUGCGCCCGUCUUGAAACACGGAUUAGGGAGUUUUACUUAAAUACGAGUCUUUAACUUUUAAAGUAAUUUUUUUAAAAAAGGCGAAAAGAAAUUAACUGGUUUUUUUAACAUGGCUAUAGAGUAUUUAAGUCAAAACCCGAAUGGAGGUGAACUAUUCCUGCAAAGAUUGAAGUCAGGGGAAACUCUGAUGGAAGAUCGUUGGCGUUAUUGAUGUGCAAAUCAUUUGCUUUAUGUAGGUAUAGGUGCGAAAGACUCAUCGAACCUCCUAAUAGCUGGUUUCCUCCGAAGUUUCCCUCAGGAUAGCUGUAACAUUUUUAAAUAGUUAAGGAUAGUAGAGAAAUGGGUAGAGGUGUAGUGGAACUACGGUUCUGCAACUUAUUUCCAAACUUCGAACGUUCUUGAUAUAAAAAAUUACCUAAUAGGAAUUUUUUAUUUAAAUAUAUGUUAUAAGUGGGCUCUGACCGGUAAGCGGUCAUGGCGAAAAGGGAUGAACCUAACGUAUAAAUAAGGUGCCUAAAUUUACUAACAAUGAAACCAUUAAAAGAGUCCAUGUAUUUAGACAGCGGGUCGGUGCCCCUAAAAGCAGGUAUCCGUUAAUGAGUGUGUUAAAACUCCCCCGCCGAAUACUCUGGCCUUGAAAAUGAAUGGCGCAUAUAGUAAUACCGAUAUUAUACAUUAAAAUUAUUUAAAAAUUUUAAAAGUAGGGGGAUGUGGAUAUCUUAGAGAAUUUUUAAUUGUAAAAUUGAAUUGAAAGAUAUCUAUUACAGAUCCUAAUUGAAGUAGCGAUUAUCCAGGUUAAUCUCCUGGGGGCUGAUGAGGAGUAGGGUUUCUGGGCAACUUAAACGGACCCAGAGUUAGUCGAUCCUAAUCAAAUUAAAUUUAGAGAAAGGGAAUAUGAAUGAUAUUUCAUAACUAAAAUUAAUUUUUAAAUGGUGACAUUUUUUUAAACUUAUUUCCAUCAAUUAAAUACUGUUUAAUAGGGAUUUCUUUCCUAUAUAACUUUUUAAUUAAAACUUAAGAAACAGGUUAACUGGAGAAUAAAGUUUUAAUUUAGUAAAAUUAUAAUUUCGAUUAUAAUAACGGCUAUUUAAAUGAUCCAUGAAACAAUAAGUUUAUUUUUUCAAAAAUUAAUUUAAUCGUACCGAUAACCGCAUCAGGUCUCCAAGGUGAGUAGCUUCUGGCCAUUGAGUAAUGGUAAUUUAGGGAAUUCGGCCAAUUAGAGCUGUAACUUCGGGAUAAAGCUUGGCUCUGAUGGAAAUCAGAACCGAUAGUUACAAGGAGAGCCCAACUGUUUAAUAAAAACUUAGUGUCGCGUCAUACCUUUAUAAGUAAUAAACGUGACAUGAAUCCUGCUCAGUGCUGUGUUUGUUAAACUGGAUUAAUCCAUUUAAGCGCCGGUAAAUAGCUGGGGUAACUAUGACUCUUAUCAAAGUAGCGAAAUACCUCGUCACUUAAUUAGUGACCUGCAUGAACGGAGCUAUGAGGUUCUCACUGUCCCAAAUUAUCACUCAGCGAACCAACAGUUGUGGGAACGGGCACAAAUUAUCCAGCGGGGAAAGAAGACCCUGUAGAGCUUCACUUUGGUCUAAUCUUGUAUAGUUUCGUUAGGGGUGCAGUCUAGGUGGGAGAUUUUUAAUCAAAUAUGAGAAACCACUACCCUUUCUGGAAUUAUACUUACUAAAAUUCUUUUCUAAAUUUUAGGAUCGGAUUAGAUAGAAAGUUUGGCUGGGGCGGCACACCUUCGAAAAAGCAGCGAAGGUGUCCUAAGUUAAGCUCAGUAAGGACAGAAAUCUUACGUUGAGGAUAAGGCCAAAAGCUUAAUUUACUGUGCCUUUUUGUACUAGGAUCAGUUUGGAAACAAAGGCCUAACGAUCCCUAAUUAGUCUUAGGUGUGUAAGACUUGGGGUGACAGACAAGUUACCUCCGGGACAACUGGCUUGUGGCUGCUAAGAGAUCAAAUCAACGCAGCUUUUUGAUUCUUCGAUGUCGGCUCUUCC